GACGAACGCUGGCGGCGUGCUUAACACAUGCAAGUCGAACGGAAAGGCCCUGCUUUUGUGGGGUUCUCGAGUGGCGAACGGGUGAGUAACACGUGAGUAACCUGCCCUUAACUUUGGGAUAACUUCAGGAAACUGGGGCUAAUACCGGGUAGGAGCUCCUGCUGCAUGGGGGUGGUUGGAAAGUUUCGGCGGUGGUGGAUGGUCUCGCGGCUUAUCAGCUGGUUUGUGGGGUAGUGGCUGACAAAGCGUUUGACGGGUAGCCGGCCUUGGAGGGUGACCGGGCACAUUGGGACUGCGAUACGGACCAGAAUCCUACGGGAGGCAGUGGGGGGGAAUCUUGCAGAAUGGGGCGGAGCCUGAGGCAGAGACGCCGCGUGCGGGAUGCCGGCCUUCGGGUUGUAAACCGCUUUCGCAUGUGACGAAGAGUGAGUGACGGUAAUGGGUAAAGAAGCACCGGCUAACUACGUG
rnacentral:rRNA from 1 species